rnacentral:rRNA from 1 species
AUUGAACGCUGGCGGCAGGCCUAACACCUGCAAGUCGAACGAGUGGCGGCCGGGUGAGUAAUGUCUGGGCAACUGCCCGAUGGAGGGGGCUAACUACUGGAAACGGUAGCUAAUACCGCAUACCAUCGGAUGUGCCCAGAUUCGAGUAGCUAGUAGGUGGGGUAACUGCUCACAUAGGCGACGAUCCCUAGCUGGUCUGAGAGGAUGACGGUCCAAGCUUGAACUGAGACACGGUCCAGACUCCUACGGGAGGCAGCAGGGGGGAAUAUUGUACAAUGGGCGCAAGCCAGAUGCAGCCAUGCCGUGUGUAUGAAGAAGGCCUUCGGGUUGUAAAGUACUUUCAGCGAGGAGGCGUUACUCGCAGAAGAAGCACCGGCUAACUCCGUGCCAGCCGCCGCGGUAAUUC